UGGGGAAUAUUGCGCAAUGGGCGAAAGCCUGACGCAGCGACGCCGCGUGAGGGAUGAAGGUUUUCGGAUCGUAAACCUCUGUCAGAAGGGAAGAAACUACGUUGUGCUAAUCAGCAGCGUACUGACGGUACCUUCAAAGGAAGCACCGGCUAACUCCGUGCCAGCAGCCGCGGUAAUACGGAGGGUGCAAGCGUUAAUCGGAAUUACUGGGCGUAAAGCGCACGGAGGCUGUAGUGUAAGUCAGGGGUGAAAUCCCACGGCGCAAACGUGGAAAUGCCUUUGAUACUGCACAACUUGAAUCCGGGAGAGGGUGGCGGAAUUCCAGGUGUAGGAGUGAAAUCCGUAGAUAUCUGGAGGAACAUCAGUGGCGAAGGCGGCCACCUGGACCGGUAUUGACGCUGAGGUGCGAAAGCGUGGGGAGCAAACAG
rnacentral:rRNA from 1 species